rnacentral:lncRNA from 1 species
UAACGAGGAGUAAAUAAAAAUUAGAAAAAUAUAGAAAUAAAAAUUGAGCUGAAAAAUAAUUAGAUGAGGAAAAAAGUAAGUAGAAAAGUAGAAAUAAUAGUCUCAUUCUCGAUAUGAAUUUUGUAUUAAGCACCCGUUUGGUUCGGGGUUAAGGGGUGGAAUAACCCCUUAACCCCGAAGUUAUUCCCAAACACCUAAUUUGGGGGGUGGGGUUAGCUAACCCUAUCCCACCCCACUACUCCAACCAAACAAAACACUUUUUUACCCACUAUCCUUCUUAUUCCACUUACUCCAACCAAACACUAUUUUACCGAAUCCUGAACUAACUCCAAUUCUCAACCAAAUACAAAAUUACUCUAACCCCACCUUAACCCUGAACUUAACUCUAUCCCUGGAAUAACUAGCUUUUUUUUAACCCCAAACCAAACGAUAUAAGGGUUUUUAGGAAGCCAUAUAGGGCCAGCUCAGGCCCACAUAAUUGAAUCCAAAAAUAUGACAAAUUAAAUCUUUUAGAUUUGCACCUACUAGUGCAAUUCUGUAAUUUUCUGUUUUAUUAAUUAUCCAAUGUAGGACUAUUCACAUGUGAACUAUUUGGUUUCUCAAAAAAAUGUGAAAAAAAAGAAAAAGGAUUCAUAAAAAACCUUUUCAGUUUUCCGUCUGUUAGGUUUUAAGAAAAAAAGUUUUUAUAGAAAAUUGUUU